ensembl:lncRNA
ACGGAGCAGCAGGGAACAUCUCCCUUCAGCCAGUGAGGUUAAUGAGGCGACACACAAAAACAGGAGGAAGGACGCUAGAUUGGAAAUCAUUAGUUUUCCGGAAGCUCCUGGAAGAGAGAUUUAAAACCUUCUCUGAAGGACAUGGGUCCCAGUGUUUCCCAGAAUUCAUCUUCCACUUACAAUAAUAACAGUGAAGAAAGCUUCCUUUGAAAAUAAAUGUUUUAAGUAAAGCAGCGAAACCACUUAAAAUAUUAAUAAGAAAAAUCAAGAUGAGGUGUGCACCCGAUGCCUGGGCCAGGUGGGACACACGAAAGAGGACCAACGGUGCUUCAGGGUGCAGACCAACCAUCCCUCCCUCGAGCCAGGCAUGACCUCAGUGCCGGGCUCCGGAUCCCAAAGCCCGCUCCGUUUCAUCCUGGUCACCCCACAAUGAGGAGGAUCUCCGCCACAAAGACGCUGUCGACCUGGGUGCGGGGAAUGCUCUCUGCGCCCCUGCUGCUCCCAACAACCCUUCCGGGCGGAGUGACCUGGGAGCCUUUUUCCGCCCUCGCAGGUCCUCCCCGGAAGUGCAGCCCCUCGCGCCGGAAGUACUUCCUCAACUCCCCUCAGCGCCGGCCAGACGAGGGCGGUGCCUGAGCCAACGCCGCUUCCUGUUUCCGAACGCGCUGUUCCGAGUGGCCCGAGAGGCUGGGCUGGAGGCCACCGACCGCCCUUCCACCGCGCACAGUCUCACCACCUCCCCGGGGGCGCUCUCUGCUCUGACAAUCCUCCGUGUUCCCGGAGGAUGCCCGCGCGUGGUCCGGGCCCUUACCUCCCCGGUGGGUUCUCAUGCCCGCGGGACCCCUGAUAGCGUGGGGCCGCAGGACUCAGCUCGGGACCUCUAAGCACGCCGGACGGUGCGAGCUCUGGCAGCGGCUCCAGGGGGCACAGCGCCGUGGAGGGCGCCCCCUGGUGGGGUAACGCCGAGGGCUCCCCGGGACGGCGGGCAACUGCGCCCCCUGGUGGCGGUCGGAGCCUCAGGCACCUUCGUCGUCUCUACAGUGUUCGUUACACUGUUGCUCAAAUGAUGGUUUCAGGAGAUAAAAACUGCAGCAGAAAAAGGAAGACCACAGGAAAGCAGCCCAGAGUGAAACGCAUUGGAAAUGCUAGAUUCCAGAGCAACUCGAUGUGCCAGUGCUGCUGACUGAUAUGGAGGAACAGAUAUUUUCAAUACAUCACUUGGAAGUUAGUUGUGGAAUCUGACGUGGAUCCUACAAACUGUCUUCUCUUGACAGUUGCCUUAUAACAUGGCAUUGCCUUAAAGAGUAAUUCUCUCCGAUCCAAGGUUAAGCGGGAAGCUCCUCAACUGCAAUUAAAUGGAUUUUGAAAAAUGGAAAUUUCUUUUGCACUUGCAUCAAAGUCCAGAAAUAUGCUGCUGGAACUGUAGUUUGAGCUCAGAAGAUACAUCUACUAUAAAUUGGUGUGGCAAUGAAUGACUCCACUUCUUACUAACUUUGGACAGCAUAGGAAGUAUGUAAAAUAGUUUGGCAUUACUUGUGAUUCAAACAACGUUAGCUGUCUUUGAAAUAACUUGACUGCAUGUAAGUCUCAC